rnacentral:rRNA from 5 species
AAACUUUCAACAACGGAUCUCUUGGUUCUGGCAACGAUGAAGAACGCAGCGAAAUGCGAUAAGUAAUGUGAAUUGCAGAAUUCAGUGAAUCAUCGAAUCUUUGAACGCACAUUGCGCCCCCUGGUAUUCCGGGGGGCACACCUGUCCGAGCGCCAUUU